rnacentral:rRNA from 1 species
UAGUGGCGAACGGGUGAGUAACACGUGAGUAACCUGCCCUUGACUCUGGGAUAAGCCUGGGAAACUGGGUCUAAUACCGGAUACGACCGAUCACCGCAUGGUGUGUUGGUGGAAAGCUUUUGCGGUUUUGGAUGGACUCGCGGCCUAUCAGCUUGUUGGUGGGGUAAUGGCCUACCAAGGCGACGACGGGUAGCCGGCCUGAGAGGGUGACCGGCCACACUGGGACUGAGACACGGCCCAGACUCCUACGGGAGGCAGCAGUGGGGAAUAUUGCACAAUGGGCGAAAGCCUGAUGCAGCGACGCCGCGUGAGGGAUGACGGCCUUCGGGUUGUAAACCUCUUUCAGUAGGGAAGAAGCGAAAGUGACGGUACCUGCAGAAGAAGCGCCGGCUAACUACGUGCCAGCAGCCGCGGUAAUACGUAGGGCGCAAGCGUUAUCCGGAAUUAUUGGGCGUAAAGAGCUCGUAGGCGGUUUGUCGCGUCUGCUGUGAAAGACCGGGGCUCAACUCCGGUUCUGCAGUGGGUACGGGCAGACUAGAGUGAUGUAGGGGAGACUGGAAUUCCUGGUGUAGCGGUGAAAUGCGCAGAUAUCAGGAGGAACACCGAUGGCGAAGGCAGGUCUCUGGGCAUUAACUGACGCUGAGGAGCGAAAGCAUGGGGAGCGAACAGGAUUAGAUACCCUGGUAGUCCAUGCCGUAAACGUUGGGCACUAGGUGUGGGGGACAUUCCACGUUUUC